rnacentral:tRNA from 1 species
UCCCUAGUAGCUCAGUUGGUAAAGAAUCUACUUGUAAAGCAGGAGACCCGGGUUCAAUCCCUGGGUUGGGAA